rnacentral:lncRNA from 1 species
UGCUGUUGAAACAUUUUCUGGCUGUUGAGAGGAGAGACUGGUUCCUCCCACUUCAAAGGCCUUAGGAACAUUAUUAUCUCCCACCUUUGUUUUCUCGAUAGCUCUGUAAACUUUGCCCGCUCGUUCUUCCGGUCCCUUUAGUGCAACUGACAAGUUUCGGGUUUUUGAUUUUGAUCUUGAUCUUCCCCUACGAGUCUUCUUGCCUGGUCCAUUAUUAUUCUGCUUUUUGUUCUGCGGGCAAUUUGGGGUAGUAUGGCCGCUUGAAGAGCAAAUGGCACAAAGUUUCGAAACUUUACUACACCCUCUAGCAGAAUAACCUAUC